UUCUACAAGAUAUGGAGCAACAUCCUCGUAAUCCCAUUUCCCAACCCAGUGCCGCUGCUGGGUUUCCCCUUACGCCGUGAAUUCUGAUAACCCAACUGAACUCAAAGCAUACAACUAUGACCACGAUAGUCUCUCUUUCUACUUCGUGUUACUCCUCUUGCUCUCUCUUCUCUCCUUUCUCCAAUUGCUACAGACUCAACCCUCUUCUCUUCUACACGCGCCGUCGCGCCAUUCCCUGUUGCCGCCGCUUCACCACAACUCGCCUUCUCGCAGUUGCUGCUUCAGAGAAUGGUGUCUUUACCUCUCCUGAGAUAGCCAAAUCAUUCGACUUUUCCGCCGAAGAACGCAUAUAUAAUUGGUGGGAGUCUCAAGGGUAUUUUAAGCCGACUUUUGACCGGGGAAGUGAUCCUUUUGUGAUAUCAAUGCCGCCUCCUAAUGUUACUGGUUCUCUGCACAUGGGGCAUGCGAUGUUUGUGACACUUGAGGAUAUAAUGGUUAGGUACAAUCGCAUGAAGGGAAGGCCAACCCUUUGGCUUCCUGGGACAGAUCAUGCUGGUAUUGCGACUCAGUUGGUUGUUGAAAGAAUGCUAGCUUCUGAAGGAAUAAAAAGGGUUGAAAUGACUAGAGAUGAAUUCACAACACGAGUAUGGCAGUGGAAAGAGAAGUAUGGCGGAACUAUCACAAAUCAGAUCAAGAGACUUGGUGCUUCUUGUGACUGGUCAAGAGAGCACUUCACCCUUGAUGAACAGCUAAGUCAUGCUGUAGUUGAGGCAUUUGUUAGGCUUCAUGAGAAAGGCUUAAUUUAUCAAGGUUCAUAUAUGGUAAACUGGUCACCUACUCUCCAGACUGCUGUUUCUGACCUGGAAGUUGAAUAUUCAGAAGAGUCUGGAUAUCUUUAUUAUAUUAGGUAUCGCAUUGCCGGAGGUUCAAGGAGUGACUACUUGACUGUGGCUACAACGCGCCCAGAAACUUUAUUUGGUGAUGUAGCACUAGCAGUUAAUCCACACGAUGAUCGCUAUUCCAAGUAUAUUGGUCAGAUGGCAAUUGUGCCUCAGACAUUUGGCCGUCAUGUUCCUAUUAUUUAUGACAAGCAUGUUGAUAAAGAGUUUGGAACGGGAGUAUUGAAAAUUAGUCCAGGACAUGAUCAUAAUGACUAUCUACUUGCUCGCAAGCUUGGUCUUCCUAUACUCAAUGUGAUGAACAAGGAUGGUACAUUAAAUGAUGUUGCUGGCUUAUACAGUGGCCUUGAUCGAUUUGAGGCUCGAAAGAAACUGUGGGCGGAACUUGAGGAGACAGGGUUAGCUGUGAAAAAGGAACCACACACUUUACGCGUUCCCAGAUCUCAGCGUGGUGGAGAAGUGAUAGAGCCACUUGUAAGUAAGCAAUGGUUUGUAAGUAUGGAGCCUCUUGCCGAGAAAGCUCUUCAAGCAGUUGAAAAAGGAGAGCUGACUAUAAUUCCGGAAAGAUUUGAGAAGAUUUACAACCAUUGGCUUUCCAACAUUAAGGAUUGGUGUAUAAGCAGACAACUAUGGUGGGGACACCGGAUACCUGUUUGGUACAUUGUCGGAAAACGUAAUGAAGAAGACUAUAUAGUUGCUAGGAAUGCUGAUGAAGCACUUGAGAAAGCUCGCAAGAAAUAUGGAAAGGAUGUAGAAAUAUAUCAGGAUCCUGAUGUUCUUGACACUUGGUUUUCAAGUGCCUUAUGGCCUUUUAGUACACUUGGAUGGCCAGAUUUAAAUGCAGAAGAUUUUAAGAGGUUAUAUCCAACUACAGUGCUUGAAACUGGGCAUGACAUAUUGUUCUUUUGGGUGGCGAGAAUGGUGAUGAUGGGAAUCGAGUUCACAGGAACUGUUCCAUUUUCUUAUGUUUAUUUGCAUGGACUCAUCAGGGAUUCACAGGGUAGAAAAAUGUCUAAGACCUUAGGGAAUGUAAUAGACCCCAUUGACACUAUCAAAGACUUUGGGACAGAUGCUUUACGAUUCACACUAGCUUUAGGAACAGCUGGCCAGGACCUUAAUUUGUCCUCUGAGCGCUUAACGUCCAACAAGGCCUUCACAAACAAAUUGUGGAACGCUGGCAAAUUUAUAUUACAGAAUUUGCCCAAUGAGAAUGAUACAUCUGCUUGGGAAAACAUAUUGUCUCAUAAGUUUGAUGGUGAAGGCUCUGUACUUAAUCUUCCUUUGCCAGAGUGUUGGGUGGUGUCAAAACUUCACUUGCUCAUUGAUUCUGUCAGUGCAAGCUACGAUAAAUUUUACUUUGGAGAAGUGGGAAGAGAAACAUAUGAUUUCUUUUGGGCUGAUUUUGCUGAUUGGUAUAUUGAGGCCAGCAAAGUGCGGCUUUAUAACUCUGGAACUGGAGGCAGCUCGGAUGCUUCAGUGGCACAGGCUGUUUUAUUGUAUACUUUUGAGAACGUACUCAAAGUGCUGCAUCCUUUCAUGCCAUUUGUAACUGAGGAACUAUGGCAGGAAUCUGCGAGGACCCGUGGUGAGGUGGGGAUUGGGGAUGGCGAGAAAAUUCACCCCGCCACAGGAAUGGGGAGUGGGGAUGGGGACAUGAAAGAGAUGCGGGGACGGGGACAGGGGAGGCACUCUCCGCCCCCGCCCCGCGCGGGUGCCAUCCCUAUCCAGGCACUCCCUUACCGGAAGCAAGCCCUUAUUGUAUCACCUUGGCCAGAGAGUCAACUACCAAGGAACACCAGCUCUAUAAGAAAAUUUGAAAAUUUGCAAGCUUUGGUUCGAGCUAUCCGGAAUGCUCGGGCAGAAUAUUCUGUUGAGCCUGCAAAACGGAUAUCAGCAUCUGUGGUUGCAAGCAAUGAAGUUAUUGAAUAUAUUGCUGAAGAAAAAGAGGUUUUAGCACUUCUCUCCCGGCUGGAUAUACCAAAUCUGCAUUUUUCAAAUUCUUCUCCAGGCAUGAUUUCUACUUAAUUUUGUACUAUCGGGUUGAAGACUGAAUUUUACCCUUUUUUCCCCCCUUGACACUUGUUUAUUGGGUCCAAAUGAGUACCGGUCUCUGACUAAUUUCUCUGGUGGAUGUCAUGUAACAUACUUCAGGAAAUGCAGAUCAAUCAGUUCAUCUCGUGGCUGGUGAAGGGCUUGAGGCAUAUCUUCCUCUGGCCGAUAUGGUUGAUAUUUCUGCAGAAGCUCAACGUCUCUCAAAACGCCUUUCCAAGAUGCAGAAGGAGUAUGACGCAUUGAUAGCUAAAAUCAGUUCUCCUCAAUUUGUGGAGAAGGCCCCAGAAAAUGUGGUCCGUGGGGUGCAGGAAAAAGCAGCGGAAGCAGAAGAAAAGAUCACUUUAACCAAAAAACGCCUUGAAUUCCUGAACUCUAGUGUUCUAGCUUCAAAAUAGGCUUGGCCAGAGUUGCUACUUCAUCAUUACCUGUUCAAGCUAAAUGCCCAUCAUAUCCAAGGACCUAGGCCAUGGUUCUUCAUGAUUAAUCACAUAUGGCAUCUCUUUACUGCGGCAUUGAAUGCCCUAUGCGUAUCAGCAAUACAAACCACAGCUCUUCUACUCUGCAUCACUCCAAGAGAAUAGUUUUUUUUUACAAAUAUUGGUUGUUGUGGAUCAUUCUACACUGGCUUAUGUAACCACAAGGUGAGAUGUUAGAAAUAGUGGGUCUUUGUAUGUCCCCAUUGGUUAAUGUUUGUUGUUCCUCAAUAUUUGGUUACAAAUCAAGUGCUCUAAUCCAAAGUAAAGCAGCAAUGCGAUAAAUGACUUGUGUUGUUUACUUAGCGUUAAUGGUGAAAUUAGUCCAUGUCUUUGUAGUUGGUUUUGAA